GACGUAGGGCGCGAGCGUUGUCCGGAAUUAUUGGGCGUAAAGGGCUCGUAGGCGGUUUGUCGCGUCGGGAGUGAAAACCAUGGGCUUAACUCAUGGCUUGCUUCCGAUACGGGCAGACUAGAGGUAUGCAGGGGAGAACGGAAUUCCUGGUGUAGCGGUGAAAUGCGCAGAUAUCAGGAGGAACACCGGUGGCGAAGGCGGUUCUCUGGGCAUUACCUGACGCUGAGGAGCGAAAGUGUGGGGAGCGAACAGG
rnacentral:rRNA from 1 species